rnacentral:rRNA from 1 species
AGCGAACGCUGGCGGCAGGCUUAACACAUGCAAGUCGAGCGGGCCCUUCGGGGUCAGCGGCAGACGGGUGAGUAACACGUGGGAACGUACCCUUUGGUUCGGAAUAACGCUGGGAAACUAGCGCUAAUACCGGAUACGCCCUUUUGGGGAAAGGCUUGCUGCCGAAGGAUCGGCCCGCGUCUGAUUAGCGAGUUGGUGGGGUAAUGGCCUACCAAGGCGACGAUCAGUAGCUGGUCUGAGAGGAUGAUCAGCCACACUGGGACUGAGACACGGCCCAGACUCCUACGGGAGGCAGCAGUGGGGAAUAUUGGACAAUGGGCGCAAGCCUGAUCCAGCCAUGCCGCGUGAGUGAUGAAGGCCUUAGGGUUGUAAAGCUCUUUUGUCCGGGACGAUAAUGACGGUACCGGAAGAAUAAGCCCCGGCUAACUUCGUG